UCGCCCCUUGCGGAGCUCCGCGCCGAGUA
rnacentral:sRNA from 1 species